UGUGAGCUGUUACAGACAAAUUUGCAAGACUGAAUCCAAGCCCAAAAAGUCAAGUCUGGAUUCAGAAAAUAAUUCUGAACUAACAGAAAACACAUUUUGAGUCCAGCUGUUCAUGUGCCUGACAAGAUAAACACAAGAAGGUCACAAAAAAGACAAAGGUUAACUGAUGGCAUUUACCACACAACAUAUAACUAAUAUAGGGCCUGGCAUAGGGUAACUGCUUAUAAAUAUUGGUUGAAAGAAUUGAACUGAAUUGAAUUGAAUCCCAAUUCUGCCACCAAGUGACUCUGAGUAAGUUAUCAACUUGUCUGAACCUUAGUUCUCUGUGACAUAUAAAUGUGUCUGUUUUAUCUAUCUCAUAGGACAGUUGUUAUCAAAUGAAAUCACAUGAGAAUGUGUUGGCACUAACAAAACAAUAAUUAUGACAUAUAAUGACUACUGGUACUAAUUAGCUCAGAAGCCUACUUGUAAGAUGCUAAUAUGUAAGUACAAGGAAAGAGCAUCAAAAUCUACUGGGGAAAAAACCCCAUAUUUUCGAAAAAUGUCAUCUUUAUGAUGAAAGGAGCUGGUCACCGCUAAACUGGUGCUGUGCCUUUUCUAACCCGUAGGUUACAGCGGCAGGGUCUGCUGAGUGGCAUCGUGUUUGACUGAAUCCCCCAGUCAGCGCAGGCAGCAGUAAGAUGCCGAUUUGAGGGUCCCCAUCUACAGAACCACCAUCCAGGCCCAAACAAGGCACUACCGUUGGUGGGCGCGCACGCGCACUUGCCGGCUUCUUUUGACAGCUUUGGCCAAGUGAGAAGGAAGGGGAGCAGGAGGUGUCGCGAGAGUUGGCCUCCGCCUCGUAGGCGAUGUAACUAUGGCGAGUCCGGGGAUCGACACGGAGCAGGAGCCGCUCCUCGGCGACCGCACACCCGGAAGCAGAGAAUGGGAUAUUAUAGAAACUGAAGAGCAUUAUAAGAGCCGAUGGAUAUCUAUUAGGAUUCUGUAUCUUACUAUGUUUUUCAGCAGUGUAGGAUUUUCUAUUGUGAUAAUGUCAAUAUGGCCAUAUCUCCAAAAGAUUGAUCAGACAGCUGAUGCAAGUUUUUUGGGCUGGGUUAUUGCUUCAUUUAGUCUUGGCCAAAUGGUAGCUUCACCUGUAUUUGGUUUGUGGUCUAAUUAUAGACCAAGAAAAGAACCUCUUAUUGUCUCCAUCUUCAUUUCGGUCAUGGCUAACUGCCUCUAUGCAUAUAUCCACGUUCCAGCUUCUCAUAAUAAAUACUACAUGUUGGUUGCUCGUGGAUUGGUGGGAUUUGGAGCAGGAAAUGUAGCAGUUGUUAGAUCAUACAUUGCUGGUGCUACUUCCCUUCAGGAAAGAAUAAGUUCCAUGGCAAACACAAGUGCAUGUCAAGCAUUAGGCUUUAUUCUAGGUCCAGUUUUUCAGACUUGUUUUGCACUCAUUGGAGAAAAGGGUGUGACAUGGGAUGCCAUUAAGCUGCAGAUAAAUAUGUACACAGCACCAGUUUUACUUGGCGCAUUCCUGGGAGUUUUAAAUAUUAUUCUGAUCCUUACUCUAUUAAGAGAACAUCGUGUGGAUGACUCAGGACGACAGUGUAAAAAUGUUAAUUUUGAAGAAGCAAGUACAGAUGAAGUUCAGUUUCCCCAAGGAAAUAUUGAUCAAGUUGCUGUUUUGGCCACCAAUGUUCUGUUUUUUGUGGUUCUAUUUAUCUUUGCCCUUUUUGAAACCAUCGUUACUCCAUUAACAAUGGAUAUGUAUGCCUGGACUCGAAAACAAGCUGUAUUAUAUGAUGGAAUAAUACUUGCUGCUCUUGGAGUUGAGGCAAUUCUUAUUUUCAUGGGGGUUAAAUUACUUUCCAAGAAGAUUGGUGAGCGUGCUAUUCUACUGGGAGGACUCAUCGUUGUAUGGGUUGGCUUCUUUAUCUUGUUACCUUGGGGAAAUCAGUUUCCCAAAAUACAGUGGGAAGAGUUACAUAAUAAUUCAAUCCCUAAUACCACAUUUGGGGAAAUUAUUAUUACUCUUUGGAAGUCUCCAAGAGAAGAUCACAACGAAGGACCCACUGGUUGCCCAAUUGAACAAGCCUGGUGCUUCUACACUCCCAUGAUCCAUCUGGCUCAGUUCCUCACAGCAGCUAUGCUAAUUGGAGUAGGCUAUCCAUCCUGCAAUGUUACGUCCUAUACGUUGUAUUCAAAAGUUCUGGGACCAAAACCUCAGAUUCCCAAACCACUGUUGCACCAUUUCAGUCUGUGAUGUCUGGUCUGGAAAUGGAAAAGGAGUUUUUCCUGGACCAAGAUGAUUGGAGCUAAACAGAGAAAAAGAAUUCUCAAAAACUAAUAAAAAAUUAUCAGGUGAGUAUCUUUCUUCGUCUACUCCUGAUCUUUUGGAUUUGGACAGCAUUUCAGCUGAGUGACAUCGUUCCAUUGUAUUUGUUUUUGCUCGAGACUGACUAUUAAAAGUGCCCGAUCUAUCAGAGGAAUGGGCUCUGCGAAGGUAUCGAGAGUGUGGCCUUUCUUCUGCAUCCUGGAUUACUCUUCCCCUUCCACUAUUACUGGUUUCUUGUUCUUGGUUUCCCCACUGAGUAUAAAAACUGCUUCCAUCUCCUGAAGAAGAAAAAUCGCUUGUAUUUUUAUUCUUUGGAAAUAUAGUCAUUUUAUUUGGGAGUGGCUGACCAAUCAAAAGUCGUCUUCUGUCAAAUAAACUACCACUUAUACUGGUACUGGAAGAAGCUGUAAUUGCAGUAGAAAUUGUGGCAUGUCCACUGUCAAUGGAGUCUUCUACAGUUCCUAAAUCUUUACUUUUUGUUGAAGAAUUUCGGGACAUAAAAGGAUGGUCUAAUACUGAAGACAAACUUAAACGAUCUGCUGGAUUUCUACGAAGUAACUGGUGAAUAAGGUCCUUGGCCUCUCUUGUCAAAAAAGUUGGCAUUUCAUAAUCUGCCAAUACUACUUUAUUUAAUGUGUUCUUGACUGUGUCAGUGUCAAAUGGUGGUCUUCCAAUAAGCAACGUAUAAAACAUACAGCCCAAGGACCAAACAUCAGAUUCAAGUCCAUGUGCACUUCGAGUUGCAAUUUCUGGUGAAAUGUAAUUAGGAGUUCCACAUAAUGUAUAGUGCUUUUCAUGUGGCAUUUUCAAUUGAGUUGCCAGCCCAAAAUCAGCAAUCUUGAUGUUCAUAUUACGUGUAAGUAAGAGGUUAGAAAGUGUGAGGUCCCGGUGUAAUAUACCAUGAGAAUGGAGAUACAACAUUCCUGUGAUGAUCUGGUGCAUGAAGUGUCGAGCUGUUAGAAUACAAACAAUAAAAUUUACAAUUUAGAAAAUCUGAAAGGUUCAGUACUUACAAUCUUAGAAUUCAGUAUUUAGAAACCCAAGUACAUGUGCCACAAUAUUACAUUAGAACACCAGCUUGCAGCUUAGUAGUUUGAUAAACCAAAAUACUACUAUGGUAAUUUCUUAAGAUUUUUAAACUUUUAAAACAACUAGGCACUUCUGCUAAUCUUUGUCCUUUCUAACUGAUGCAUUAAGGAGUUUAAUAUUAUUAGCAAUUGGGAGAGACUUGAGUAACUAGGGUACCCAGAAGGCCAUAGCAAUUAAGAGAAAAUAUUUAUAAUUGCAUGAACAAUUCAUAAAUACAUUUUAUUGUAAAAAAGAAAAAAAGAAAGCAAGUAAAGUUCCUCUGAUGUCCUUCCUCCCAAGCCCUAACAAAAAAAUAACCGCUAUUAAUAGUGUAUAUAUAUUAUUUUAUAUAAAUUUACAGAAAUACACUGUAAUAAAUGUUAUAUGUAAAAAGGUAUACAAAUAUAUAGAUUCAUUACUUUUUUCCCCACUUCACAGUAUUUCUUGAAAUAUUUCCAUAUCAGUACACAUAAAUCUUCAUUUUAUUUAAUUGCUAUUAAUGAGUAAUUUCCGUUACUUCAAGAUUACAAAAACAUAGCAAUAAACAUUCUGGAAAUUCUU